ACGUAAUAGAUACCCAGGUAGUCCACGCCCUAAACGAUGUCUACUAGUUGUUGGUGGAGUAAAAUCCAUGAGUAAACGCAGCUAAACGCGUGAAGUAGACCGCCUGGGGAGUACGGUCGCAAGAUUAAAACUCAAAGGAAUUGACGGGGGCCCGCACAAGCGGUGGAUUAUGUGGAUUAAAUUCGAUGCAACGCGAAAAACCUUACCUGGCCUUGGCAUGCCACUAACGAAGCAGAGAUGCAUUAGGUGCCCGUAAGGGAAAGUGGACACAGGUGCUGCAUGGCUGUCGUCAGCUCGUGUCGGGAGAUGUUGGGUUAAGUCCCGCAACGAGCGCAACCCUUGCCAUUAAUUGCCAUCAUUUAGUUGGGCACUUUAAUGGGACUGCCGGUGACAAACCGGAGGAAGGUGGGGAUGACGUCAAGUCCUCAUGGCCCUUAUGGCCAGGGCUUCACACGUAAUACAAUGGUCGGUACAGAGAGUUGCCAACCCGCGAGGGGAGCUAAUCUCAGAAAGCCGAUCGUAGUCCGGAUUGUUCUCUGC
rnacentral:rRNA from 1 species